AACGAACGCUGGCGGCAUGCCUAACACAUGCAAGUCGAACGAGACCUUCGGGUCUAGUGGCGCACGGGUGCGUAACGCGUGGGAACCUGCCCUUAGGUUCGGAAUAACUCCCCGAAAGGGGUGCUAAUACCGGAUAAUGUCUUCGGACCAAAGAUUUAUCGCAGUUGGAUGGGCCCGCGUUGGAUUAGCUAGGUGGUAGGGUAAAAGCCUACCAAGGCGACGAUCCAUAGCUGGUCUGAGAGGAUGAUCAGCCACACUGGGACUGAGACACGGCCCAGACUCCUACGGGAGGCAGCAGUGGGGAAUAUUGGACAAUGGGCGAAAGCAUGAUCCAGCAAUGCCGCGUGAGUGAUGAAGGCCUUAGGGUUGUAAAGCUCUUUUACCCGGGAUGAUAAUGACAGUACCGUGAGAAUAAGCUCCGGCUAACUCCGUG
rnacentral:rRNA from 1 species